GAUGAACGCUAGCUACAGGCUUAACACAUGCAAGUCGAGGGGAAACGGCAUCGAAAGCUUGCUUUUGAUGGGCGUCGACCGGCGCACGGGUGAGUAACGCGUAUCCAACCUGCCCAUCACUUGGGAAUAACCUUGCGAAAGUAAGACUAAUGCCCAAUGACAUCCCACGAAGGCAUCCGAAUGGGAUUAAAGAUUUAUCGGUGAUGGAUGGGGAUGCGUCUGAUUAGCUUGUUGGCGGGGUGACGGCCCACCAAGGCAACGAUCAGUAGGGGUUCUGAGAGGAAGGUCCCCCACAUUGGAACUGAGACACGGUCCAAACUCCUACGGGAGGCAGCAGUGAGGAAUAUUGGUCAAUGGGCGAGAGCCUGAACCAGCCAAGUAGCGUGCAGGAUGACGGCCCUAUGGGUUGUAAACUGCUUUUAUAAGGGAAUAAAGUGGGUCACGUGUGACUUUUUGCAUGUACCUUAUGAAUAAGGACCGGCUAAGUCCGUG
rnacentral:rRNA from 1 species